rnacentral:antisense_RNA from 1 species
AGCUCUUUAGGAUCCUCCUUGCUUGAUAACAGAAUCACUUUCUUUCUUACAUUUGUCAUCCAGAAGUCUAAAGUCAGUAGCAGUAAUGGAAAGUUGGGCUAAUGUGGAGAUAUUCCAAACAGAGCAAGAGCAAAUGGGAUUCUUGGCUUGGCUCUCAUCGUGAUCCUGAUUGAAGACCACUGGACAGAUCUGUCAAGACGCUAACCGCAAUCCAUUGGAAAUCAUUGGAGAGCCAAAGGAAAUGAAGUCUCAGACAUAUUGUCCAGGCUGGAAUGCAGUGGCUAUUCACAGGCAUGAUCAUAGUGCACUACAGCCUCAAACUCCUGGGCUCAAGCAAUCCUCCCAUCUCAAUGUCUGGAGUAGCUGGGACUACAGAUGUGUGUUAGCGGCUAUGGCAGCCAUCUUGUGACCAGGAGGAAGCUUCUGAGAAUCACAGAGAUGCAACCUCUGAAGCUGCCAAACCACUGCUAGCAGCUGCCUAACCACUGCCAGCAGCUGCCUAACCACUGCCAGCAGCUGCCUAUCUCCAGACAUCUUGGUUGGUCUAAUUGAAGGCAAUGGAGAAGUAAGUCCUUAUAGAUCAAAAUCUUAGUUCUAGAAAAGGCCUAAGGCAAUAGCUAAUUGAGACUAUGCAUCACUAUUAAGGCAUCUUCACUAAAGGGCGCUGUGGAAACGCUGCCUGAGAUGCAGACACCUGUCAGAAGGGGGCUAAAUUUCAAACAAGGAACGUGGUGUUGCAUCACAAUAAAUAGAGACGGGGUUUCACUGUGUUAGCCAGGAUGGUCUCAAUCUCCUGACCUCAUGAUUCACAUGCCUCGGCCUCCCAAAGUGCUGGGAUUACAGAACAGAAGAAACACACGUGUUCUUGUGUAUAAACCCAGUCCAUGGAAGAGACAGUCUGCUUGUCCCUCCUGAUCUCUGGGCCCAGACAACCAGUAGUCACCAUUCCAAGUGAGGGGUGGUUGCAACUCUACAGCCCCGUUCGUCUCUCCUCACUGUCAAAGCUGCUGAGAUCCCAGACUCGACACUUGAAAGAAACCCAUGUCUGUGAAGCACUUGUGGACCAUUCAAGAUUGUGGAGGAAUCACUCAAGAGAAGGAGAUAGCAAUAUUUGCAGAUAUGCAAACUGGCCCCUUGCAUGCACAUCCUGGAGCACGUCCUGGAGCCUUUAGAGGAGACGGCUGCUGCUGUUCCAGUCUCUCCUUAGGCAGACUUGAGUUUCUACCCACUCUUCCCAAGCAGCCGCCCCUCCGCACCCGAGCGAGCCAGAGACCUGGCCGGCUGAGUACUCACUGCGCGCUGGACACAUGCUGAGCCGGCACUGCAGGGACACUGGGCGAGCCGCUGGAUGCAGACCUGUGGCCGCGGCAGUUGGGCUUAUCUUGCCCAUGAAGUUGCCUCUGAAGAACCAAGUCCAACUGUGUAUGCUGAGAGAUGUCUGGCUACUUCCUGAUUGACAGUUCUGGCAAGGUGGCAUUGGGCCCUGGCUUUUCCUCUGAAGGCAUCAUCACUUAUAGGAAAAUGUCCCCUGAAGUCCAAGGAUCAAAGCUGCUGGAACACUGAGAAGCUGAACAAAGGAGAACUGUUUCUCGUCAAACCCAGACUUCCAGACUUCCAAUAGGGUAGAAUGAGCAAGUCAGCAAAUCAUCUUCCUUGGAGACAGUGAUAAAACUAGAUGACAUUGUCAACAACAGCCAUUUCAGAAAUCUAGAAAAUGACCAAAGGCAAACAACAAACUGAGAAGCAUUUUUUUUUCAAGAAAAAUGGCUCUAUUUCUGCAAAAAUAGUAGGAGUCUAUGGCUUCUCACCCAGGGCUGUUUCUCUCCCCACCCCAGCUCAGUCAGUACAAAGGUUCUGGCAGCAUGAGGCAGACUGAACAGACCUGAAGUUUGAUUGCUGGAAGAAACUGACUCCAGGUUUGGCAGAGGGUGAGAAACCUACUCCCAGCCAUGUUGUCUGUUGACACAGUGACCUUAGGGACAAGUGAAUAGGGAAGGCCAGUGAUUCAUUAACCUGAGGUUGCAGUCCUGGUUGGGGAAAGCAUCAGAAUGGCAGAUAAGCUAGAAAUUUAGUAGUGAUAUGCUGGAAAUGAGACAACCCCAAAGGGGCUUGACCCCAAAGUUGUCCACACACCCCAGCUGCCUUCUGAGCAGAUGUAGGGAGAGACCAGAGAAGGCCUAGGCUAUCCACACAUCUCUGGCUAACCCAGGCUGUAAACCUGUGGAGGAGACACAAGAGGUGGAUUGAUUGCUAAUGGGCAUAUGGGGGAUCUUACUGGUUGAUAGGAACAUUCUCAAAUUGGAUUGUGGUGAUGCUUGCACAACUCUAAGUUUAUCCCAAAUUGCUAAAUUUUACACUAAAAAGGGGUGAACUUUAGGGUAUAUAAAUUAUACAUCAAUAAAGUUGUCAUAAAGCAUUCACAUUCUAAUAAAUGGCUCUAAGAAA